UUUAUCUAUAAGUCUUGACAAAUUCACGUGCCAGCAGUCGCGGUAAGACGUGUAAGACAAGUGUUAUUCAUCUUUAUUAGGUAUAUAGGGUACUCAGACAGUUAAUUAAGCCGAUCAGGUACUAAUUAUACUAGAGUUUUAUGAGAAAAGGCUAGAACGGUGAGUGUAGUGAUAAAAUACGUUGAUACCACUUAGACACUGACAACGGCGAAAGCGACCUUUUAUGUAAAAACUGACGUUAAAGUACGAAGGCUCAAAAUAAGAAACAGGAUUAGAUACCCCAGUACUGUGGGCAGACAAUGAUGAGUGUCAUAGGUAAGUAUAAAUAUAAUUUAUAAUAAAGUUAUAUGACUAUUUACGUAUAAAUGAAAGUGUAAGCACUCCACCUUAAGAGUAACAUGGCAACAUGGGAACUGAAAUCAUUAGACCGUUUCUGAAACCAGUAGUGAAGUAUGUUGUUUAAUUAGAUAAUCCACAAAGAACCUUACCACAAUUUGUAUGUUUUUUUUUGCAAAAAAAAAUCACAGGAGUUGCACGGCUGUCUUCAGUUGAUAUCGUGAGAUUUUGGUUAGCUCCAUUGAAUCAACGUAAACCCUUACUUUAUUUUAUUCAUAAAGCAUUCCGUCAACUUAGGCUAUGAUAAUAGGGACUAAGACAAGUCAUCAUGACCCGUAUAUUGUGGGC
rnacentral:rRNA from 1 species